CUCAGUAGACCAGGCUGGCCUCGAACUCAGAAAUCCGACUGCCUCUGCCUCCCAAGUGCUGGGAUUAAAGGCGUCCGCCAGCCACCACUGCCUGGCAAGCCGCAGUUUUCUUAAGGUGACCUCGGAAGAACCAAGUCAUAAAAGCUGCCAGUUAGGAAAUCCUGAAGUGUACUAGGCCACCUGCAGUGGCUCUUCUCCGCGUUCUACAGACAAAGAUGGCUUCGGGAAGAUGGCUUCGGGAGGUCGAAUAAUUUGUUUUGGAUCACAAAGCUAGGAGGUGGCCCAACAAGUGCUGUCAAGUCUCCUUUGAGCUGGGAAACAGUCUUUCCAGGGCAUGAACUGGCCAAUAGAGGGGAUUGCUUCCAGCAGAAGGCCUGAGAUCACUUUAGAGGCCGAUGCACACGAGAGGCUGAGGCAGAAGGAUCUGGAGUCCUGACAACAAAUUCAAGGCUAGCCUGCUAUACACCUGAAUCUCUAUGACAUGCCAGAGUCUCCGGAUUCCAUUCUGCUGUCUGUGUCUGUUUCUUUCCCGCCUCCCUGUCACUGAUGGACAGUUAGACUCUGGAUGUUUGCCCAGCAUGGCCUCACUGCUGUUCCCCUUCCUUUUGUGACCCCUUCAUUUCCCUUCUGCAGGGUUGUUCCUCCUGUCCUUCCUCACCCCCAAGUCUCUCCUUCUCUGGAAUUUUCUCCCCUCCCAUCUACCAUUCAGAAAGAUCUGUGCUGCUUGGAGGUGGGGGAGGGAUGCAAGGGCAGUUUUUUUUUUCUUCCACAAAGGCCUCUGUUCCCAAGAUAAAUGACAAUUUAAACAAAGAAAUAUUUCAUUAAGGGUUGAUAUCUUAAUGAGCUGUGCCAGGAUCCUUCCAGGCACUCUGUAGACUCCCCCUUACACUAAGAGGGGGCUCCAGCCCCUGCAGGAAGCUUAUCAGUUUACCAUAUUGGCCCGAAUAGAAGACCAUGCAGUGGAGCUAGGUGGACCCGUCGACCUAGGUGCCAGAGCCCUUGGGAGAUGCUUGCAGCAGCCUUGAAAUUACCUUAAAGAAUUCAGACACUUAGAUUUGUGUCUGUGGUGGUGGUGGACACAGGGACUUUAGGCUGAUUGGUGGGAAAUCUCUCAUUAAAGAUCAGGAAAUGAACAAUA